CCUACGGGAGGCAACAGUAAGGAAUAUUGGUCAAUGGGCGCAAGCCUGAACCAGCCAUGCCGCGUGCAGGAUGACGGCCCUCUGGGUUGUAAACUGCUUUUAUACGGGAAGAACAGCAUCUACGUGUAGGUGUUUGACGGUACUGUAAGAAUAAGGACCGGCUAACUUCGUGCCAGCAGCCGCGGUAAUACGAAGGGUCCAAGCGUUAUCCGGAUUUAUUGGGUUUAAAGGGUGCGUAGGCGGCUUUUUAAGUCAGUGGUGAAAGCCUGAUGCUCAACAUCAGAACUGCCAUUGAUACUGAAGAGCUUGAGUACAGUUGAGGUUGGCGGAAUGUGUCAUGUAGCGGUGAAAUGCUUAGAUAUGACACAGAACACCGAUUGCGAAGGCAGCUAGCUAAGCUGUUACUGACGCUGAUGCACGAAAGCGUGGGGAGCAAACAGGAUUAGAUACCCUGGUAGUCCACGCCCUAAACGUUGAUAACUCGUUGUUAGCGAUAUACUGUUAGCGACCAAGCGAAAAGCAUUAAGUUAUCCACCUGGGAAAGUACGGGUCGCAAGAUUGAAACCUANAAAGUGAAGUUGACGGNUAGAGACNGCGACGGACGACGACGAGGGAGGAGG
rnacentral:rRNA from 1 species